rnacentral:snoRNA from 1 species
AUCCCAUUAUGAGGACAGGCGGUGACGUAUUCCUGCAACCUUUCCUAUGCUUCCGGGAUCGUCUCGUCUUUCGUCUGCUGGAAACUAGAUGUUCUUCCACGAAGGGC